rnacentral:snoRNA from 1 species
UCCGUCUCUCUGUGUGUCUCUCCGUCUGUCUGUGCCAGGUCAUUGAUAGAACAGGAAGAGGAAGUGAAAGACUUUCCCGUGUUUGCUGGAUCCUGUUCCUCACAAACCCUGAAUCUUUCACACA